UACGUAGGUGGCAAGCGUUGUCCGGAUUUACUGGGCGUAAAGAGCGCGCAGGCGGUCGUUCAAGUCGAGUGUGAAAGCCCCCGGCUCAACUGGGGAGGGUCACUCGAUACUGAUCGACUCGAAGGCAGAAGAGGGAAGCGGAAUUCCCGGUGUAGUGGUGAAAUGCGUAGAUAUCGGGAGGAACACCAAGUGGCGAAGGCGGCUUUCUGGUCUGCUCUUGACGCUGAGGCGCGAAAGCUAGGGUAGCAAACGGGG
rnacentral:rRNA from 1 species